GGAUUGCCAACAAAGGGACUCCGCCGUGGAGGAACUCUGUCACGCACGACGACCCGCACACCACGUCCACGCAGAACUGGACCCUCUGUCGAGCUUAUGGACAGAUGAAAUCUAGGGUUCUUUACCCAACCUGAAAUCUUGAUUUUUCUGAUGGUGUCGAGAGAGGGCAGAUCUGAUAUUUAGUGGGAAUUUGUUCCAUUGUAGAAAGAAUUCAUGGCCGCCCGAGGAGUAUAUCAGCAGGAACACUUUGCAGUUGUUUGAUUUCGAUAGUGCUGCCCCUCCGGAACAAGCCUGGAGGAGGAGAUGAAAUAGUGUCACAUUUAUUGACGCAAUAAGGAUGGUUCGACUACGAAUACGAUUGUGGUCCUAUGUCAGGGAAGAGGCUUCACAUGGGAGGAAAGCACCUAUUGAUCCUUUCUCUCGAGAAAGUUGCAAGCCAUCAGCAUCUAAAGGGGUUUCGCUUGGAGGGAUGGGUAUGUGAUGUAUCAAAGUAUAAUGCUUCAUUUCUUGUUUGUAAUAACGUUUAUUAAUCAUAGAGGAUCUACUGUGUUUAUGUCACAAGAGUGGCAGCAUAUCUAGAGGUUUUAGAGGGGACUUUAGGCAAUGGCAAAUUGUUCCUGGUAUAUGCGAACCUUCACCUGUCAUGGAAAAUCAAUUCUCAGUAAUGCUCUGACUUAGCCUCAUCUACUUGCUAUGAGGUUUCUAUUUUCAAGAUAUUUUGACAUUUCUGUGUUUUUGACAUUCUCAACUUAUCUGGUGUUAUAAGCCAUGGUUUUUUAGGUAUUUUUUGCAUGCCAUCUCAGAUAAGAAUUGCAUGCAGUAAACUCUUUA